UGCAGAAUCCCGUGAACCAUCGAGUCUUUGAACGCAAGUUGCGCCUGAGGCCACUCGGCCGAGGGCACGCCUGCCUGGGCGUCACGC
rnacentral:rRNA from 1 species